rnacentral:misc_RNA from 1 species
AACCGUCAAGCUAGGAUGCUGUUUUUUGCUAUCCUGGCUUGGUUUAUUGGGCUUUGCCGUGUCUCUCUAUUAUCCCUUCACCGGGAAAAAUGAACGGCUGGCCUUAAAAGUAUUAGCUGACUCCAUGUGGUUUAUUGGUAUUCUACUCGGCGUGAUAAUUAGAUGACCGCUGGGAAAGUGUCCCUCUGGGGAACGCCAAUUUCCAUCUGGGUUGCUUUCUAAUCUGGAGCUUUAUGUUCCAUCUCACUUCAC